GGCCGGUUAGCUCAGUGGUAGAGUAGCAGUCUCCAAUAAACUGUUGGCCAAGGGUUCGACCCCCUUACUGGUCA